rnacentral:rRNA from 1 species
UACGUAGGGGGCUAGCGUUGUCCGGAUUUAUUGGGCGUAAAGAGCGUGUAGGCGGCCAGGUAGGUCUGCUGUGAAAACUCGAGGCUCAACCUCGAGAUGUCGGCGGAAACCAUCUGACUAGAGUCCGGAAGAGGAGAGUGGAAUUCCUGGUGUAGCGGUGAAAUGCGCAGAUAUCAGGAAGAACACCCGUGGCUAAGGCGGCUCUCUAGUACGGUACUGACGCUGAGACGCGAAAGCGUGGGGAGCGAACAGG